GUGCUGGCUUAGGCAGCACAUAUGGUAAAAUUGGGAAAAUACAGAGAAGAUUAGCAUGGUUCCUACUCAAGGAUGAUACUCAAAUUUGUGAAGCUUUCACUAUUUGU